UGAAAAAUUUCACAAGUCAGAUUUCUUACAU
rnacentral:piRNA from 1 species